rnacentral:lncRNA from 1 species
CCUACCUCUCACAUUUAUAGGCAUGGCCAGACUUGCAGUUGACUCUAAAAGGUUUAUAUGUAGUCCCUAAAGUAAUAAGCAUUGGACAUGCAUCCUCUUUUGUUUUUGCAAGGUCAUAAUUUACCAUGUCUUUUCCUGUCACUAUGUGGAGAGUUGGGACUGCACACACUCAACUCACACUCACACACACACACACACACUCACAUACACACACACAGCACACCAUACACACACACACACAUUCUCUCACACAUCACACCAUACACACACACAACACACCAUACAUACACACACACUCAUCAGAAACCAGUGACUUUACCCUUGUCCCCAGGACCGAGAGCUAGUUUUUAUGUUUCUAAAUACACAGACUUUUGGAAGAAGUAAAUGGGAAGAGGCCUAGGUGUCUGGCUUAAUUCUUAGCCUGACAAAGCCUUGCUUCUGUUUAUGUAAAAUGUGGAGGGGCAUAACCAGGAUAACAGUAAGUAAUUCUACUUGUAAUAAGUGGAAUUUGAGUAUGGCUUCUUGUUUUCAUAGUAGCGGAUUCUGAGGUACUUGGAAGCAGUUAAGGGUAGUCCUGUGUUGAUGGCUCCCUUCUGGGUGGGGUGGACAGGACAAAAUGGAUGACCAGUAGCUCACAAUAGCUAGAGAUUCUAGGGUCUGUGCCAUGUCCUAGCUGGACCAUCAUGCAUCUGAUCUGCGUGGUUUCCAUGGUGUAUCUCUGCUGUGGGUCAAUUCCUUGAUGGAUUAUCAGAUGUGAGGGCUUCCUGACUUGACUG